GCGGGCGCCGGGAGCUCAGAGGUUCUGGCGCGCGCACGGAGCAGCGUCUUUAGCUUCGCUCUGCCCGCCGCCCAGCGCGCAGCUCGCCGCCUGCACACCCGAGGUUGUACCCCCUCUUUGGGGCACUGAGUUGCCAGGGACUCUGAGAAGAGCUCCUGCCGCUGUUUGCCAGGAUGCCUACAAGGAAGGCGCGUAAGUCUGGGCAGCCGAGCCCCACGCGAGCCCCGGCAGGAACCUGACUGCUCCAGGAGCCUCUGGAUGAGGAGACCCCCUUAAAAUGGAAGGUGUUGAUCCCCAUCAAUUAGAGGAGAGACUGUCUUGACGUGGAGAGCAAUGUGAAGGCACUCUUGUUCGCUUUUGGAUGCCCUUGGAAACGAAGAUAGAAUACGUCAAAAAUGAAUUUCUGUUGGAGGUUUCCCAGAAGUCAUUCUUUGGGAUAUGAGAACAUUGUAAAACCACUUUGUUUAUUUUAAAACAAGAAUGGAGGAACUUUGAAAAUAGGGAAUUAAGUAUGUAUACAUUUUGUUUUGCUUAGGGAAUCGUUGUAGUAUUUUUGCUGAAAGUUGCUGCUCAGCCUAGCAUAAAGAGGAGUUGACAAAUGGUUAGACUUGGUGGGGUCAGCAAACGGAGGAUGUUCAGUGUUUGCUUCUACUUUUGGAUGACGACUCCAGAACAGUGUAUAUUUGGUUUAUAUAUAUAAUUUUUUUAAAAGUAAAAGUUUCCUUCUGAGAACACUGAAUGUCAUAGUGAAUGUCGAUUUUAUAGGUCACUACAAAUUAUAAAAUAACCUGGUAGUUUGUUUCUUUUGACUCAAAAUGUAUUGCUUCUGUUCAGAGGACCUUUCAUUAAAUGUGUUCCUGUGGGCCACAACUGGAAAGUGUCUACUUUGAAAAAACUCGAUAGACGUAUAGGAAUGUUACUUGGUGCCAGUAAAAUUCUUGCAGGUUGAAUAUUGAAGGAUAAAGAGUAUGGGGAUUUUUGCACAACCAGGAAUAAUGAAAAAAAAAUGAAUUCGAUUUUUUACUGUUGUAAUUAAAACUUUGCAAAACAAAUGUUCUAUAGUAACUGUUGGUAAGGAGAUGAACGUGUUUCCUACAGAAGUUUUUAAAAUCUAUAAAAUGCCCUUUCUCAUGCUAGUCAACUAGUAAGCAGCCUAUAUAAAGUGAUCUUUUAGGAGAAAUUAAGCAUGUUUCAUAAUUGGGAUUUACUUUUUUUUUUUUUAAAAAAGGAACAGAUUGCUCAUCCAGAAUGAAAAUCCAUUUACAUACAUGAAUAUAUAUACACAUAUAUAAUUUGCAUUAGAGUAAUAUUAAUAUGUAGAGUCUGAGAAGAGUUUCACGUAUUUCAUUUUUUAAAAAUUAUUAAGAGGCCAGGCUAUCAAAAAAGUCCCCAAAUAUAUGAAAAAGAAGUAAUAAUGUCAUGAUUAAAUUUCAGCAGGAAUAAUUUUAUUUAUUUUACCUAUUUAUAAUUAAAAUAUUUUUUGUUUAGUUUAAAAUGUCUGUUAGUGAAAAGUUCAGUUUUGGGUUAUGAGACUAGGGUUUCAUAACUACUUGAACUCUUACAGUAAGAAUGUUUUAAUAUAGGCUGUAGUCACUUUAGACGAAAAAUUACCUCAGCAUCUGUUUUCCUUCAGUAUUACUUAAAGCUGUUAGUUUAUUUAGUUGCAAAGUUUUUGUUUUUUUUGCUCUCUCUGCCUAGAGGCAGAUACUUUGCUAUAUGGAUAUUUAUGGCCUGUAACUCUAUUUAUACAUAUAUAUUCAUUAAACCUGAUACUGUAGCUGUAAACUAUUAAAAAUUAUUACCAC
ensembl:lncRNA